AACGAACGCUGGCGGCAUGCCUAACACAUGCAAGUCGAACGAUGCCUUCGGGCAUAGUGGCGCACGGGUGCGUAACGCAUGGGAAUCUGCCUUUCGGUUCGGAAUAACUCAGGGAAACUUGAGCUAAUACCGGAUAACGUCGCAAGACCAAAGAUUUAUCACCGAAAGAUGAGCCCGCGUAGGAUUAGCUAGUUGGUGAGGUAAAGGCUCACCAAGGCGACGAUCCUUAGCUGGUCUGAGAGGAUGAUCAGCCACACUGGGACUGAGACACGGCCCAGACUCCUACGGGAGGCAGCAGUGGGGAAUAUUGGACAAUGGGCGAAAGCCUGAUCCAGCAAUGCCGCGUGAGUGAUGAAGGCCUUAGGGUUGUAAAGCUCUUUUACCCGGGAAGAUAAUGACGGUACCGGGAGAAUAAGCCCCGGCUAACUCCGUG
rnacentral:rRNA from 1 species